rnacentral:rRNA from 1 species
UACUGAGCGUAUGAAACGUUAUCGAUAAGAAGAGAGCGUCUAGGCGAACAAUGUUCUUAAAGUUUGACCUCAAAUCAGGUAGGAGUACCCGCUGAACUUAAGCAUAUCAAUAAGCGGAGGAAAAGAAACCAACCGGGAUUGCCUUAGUAACGGCGAGUGAAGCGGCAAAAGCUCAAAUUUGAAAUCUGGUACCUUUGGUGCCCGAGUUGUAAUUUGGAGAGGGCAACUUUGGGACCGUUCCUUGUCUAUGUUCCUUGGAACAGGACGUCAUAGAGGGUGAGAAUCCCGUGUGGCGAGGAGUGCGGUUCUAUGUAAAGUGCCUUCGAAGAGUCGAGUUGUUUGGGAAUGCAGCUCUAAGUGGGUGGUAAAUUCCAUCUAAAGCUAAAUAUUGGCGAGAGACCGAUAGCGAACAAGUACAGUGAUGGAAAGAUGAAAAGAACUUUGAAAAGAGAGUGAAAAAGUACGUGAAAUUGUUGAAAGGGAAGGGCAUUUGAUCAGACAUGGUGUUUUGCGCCCUCUGCUCCUUGUGGGUGGGGGAAUCUCGCAGUUCACUGGGCCAGCAUCAGUUUUGGUGGCAGGAUAAAUCCGUAGGAAUGUAACUUGCUUCGGGAAGUAUUAUAGCCUAUGGGAAUACUGCCAGCUGGGACUGAGGACUGCGACGUAAGUCAAGGAUGCUGGCAUAAUGGUUAUAUGCCGCCCGUCUUGAAACACGGACCAAGGAGUCUAACGUCUAUGCAAGUGUUUGGGUGUAAAACCCAUACGCGUAAUGAAAGUGAACGUAGGUUGGGGCCUCGCAAGAGGUGCACAAUCGACCGAUCCUGAUGUCUUCGGAUGGAUUUGAGUAAGAGCAUAGCUGUUGGGACCCGAAAGAUGGUGAACUAUGCCUGAAUAGGGUGAAGCCAGAGGAAACUCUGGUGGAGGCUCGUAGCGGUUCUGACGUGCAAAUCGAUCGUCGAAUUUGGGUAUAGGGGCGAAAGACUAAU